rnacentral:lncRNA from 1 species
AAUAUCCAACCUCACGCAGAAUUUCUGGACUUGCCUCCACACAUUGCAAAGCUUGCAGUGACAUCAAGUGCCUUAUGCCACUAGGCACCUUUACACCACUGCGACGGCGAAUAUCUUCACCUUCACGAUAAACAUUACAUGCAUAAAGGUAUCUCAACUUCUGAAGUUUUACAAUGUUAUUUGGCAAAUACAACAACGGAGCAUUACAAGCAUCCAACACUUCCAAGUUUUGCAACCUUCCUAUUGUUUCAGGUAGACUUUCAAUAGCAGUAGAUCUAAGGCCCAAAUACCGCAGAUGAAACAAGUUGAAUACCUCAGUAGGCAACAUCUUGAUACAAGCACCUUUCAGAUCCAACGUUGACAGCAAAUUCGAAGAUGUUAGGAUGGGCCUCAGCAAAUC